rnacentral:rRNA from 1 species
GUCAGCAGCCAUAUCACCCUGCAGCUCACAGCUGGCAGCCCACUGAAGCUCAGCAGGUGUGAGCCUGGCCAGUACUUAGAUGGGAGACCUCCUGGGAAAGCUAAGACUGCUGCUGGAA